rnacentral:lncRNA from 1 species
GGCCGAGAGUUUGAGCGCCAAGGCUCUCUCUCCCCAGGGGACUCUGCAACCUGACUAGGUGCUCCUUCCCUGAGGUGUGUGCUCGACAAAGGUUGCUGAAAAAGUUCACGUUGAAAUUUUUUUUGAUGAUAAUAUCGUGUUACUCAUUUCCUUUGUUUCUUAGCAUAGUAACAUUCCAGGGAGCUGCCCGGGGAAGCUUAACGCUCGAUGCGGUCCACCACAAUUAUUUUGUUUGCAGGAGGGAUAAUGGGUGAAAGCUGGGUUUCUGGGAAGUGCAGGCCUGAGAAUACUGUGCUUGGACAAGCAUCUCCCUACCGCGAAGAGCAGCGCAGAUGAAGCAGAUCCAUCCUAUGACAAGAAUGGGAGUUGCCUUACUUUGUUUGCCAACACACAAACCACCCACUGUGCACUGCUUCAGUAAUAUGCACUUUGAGCAAGGUGUCAGUUCAUAUUCGAGAACUGGCCUCUCAGACAUGUUGUCAGGAAAGUAACCCAUUGCCUUCUCCAGGAAUUGAUGAUGGCAGCAUUGGCAAUUGACCUUGGAAUGGUGUUUAAAAGGAAUAAUGCUUGUGUUACACAUAUUUUUAUUAGUUCUUAAAAACAGGAUGCAAAGUCAAGGGUUAAUUUCCAUACACUUACACCACCCACUUUGUUUUUAUUCAUUCCCUGUCCCCUCUGUCCUCUUGGUGAAUAUUCUUGACACAGACCCAGAUUUCUAUUUUACAUGUAAGUUGUUGUAAAUAGGCAUCUUUAUUCCUUUCUCUUAUAGACAUGUUGUCUGUCUUGGCAAUCAGAUUCUUCAGAGGUUUGUAGUCUCAGGGGCCUCUGCUUCAAGCCCCUCCCCCUUUUAUAGGGGGAACGUGAAAGUUUUUAUACAGAAGAUUUCCUUGGAUGAAGGGAAAGUAUAUUUCUUCUCUAUUGAUACAUUGAAAUCAUGCUUAAUUAUUGAAUAUCUACAGAUUAUUUUCCCUCCUCAUUUUAGAAUACCAGACUUAAAAUUGUUUCAAAGUCUCCUUGUUACUGGAAAAUACACAUUGUCUUAGUCUUUUUUUCCCAUUUCUUGAAUAAAAAUAUCCUUCCGAAAAUAAUUAAGGGGAUAAAGAACUUAUUUUAUCUCCCAGUUCUAGAUUGCAGUCCAUCAUUGAGAAGAAGUUAAGGCACAUUUACACUCAAGAACAGAGAGAAUUAAUGCAUGGAUGCUUAUGUGUUUUGUUCCCUCUCCACUCUUAUAUAGUUCACAAUCUUCUACCUAGGGAAUGGUGCCACCCAUAGUGGGUAAGUUUUCUCACCUCAAUUAAUAUAAUCAAGAUUAUAGCUCCACAUACGUUCCCGCAGGUCAUGUUCUCAUUAAAAGUCUCUUGCCAGGUGAUUCUAUAUUAUAUCCAGUUGACAACUAAACCUAAUCAUAGGACACAUAGAUAGGUUGGCAUAAACAAUGCUUUUACUUUGUGGGAAGAAAGAAACACUGAAAUUCCCAUCACUGCCAAUAUUUUUGGCCUGCCUCCAAUCCAAACAUAGACACGGCAAAGUAGAUCAACACAAUGGUGGAAUAUUUCUUGGUGCUAGCCACAUAGAAUAAACAAUGUGUUCCUUUCUGGAGUCUGCUAGUUAUGUUUUUACACCUGUUCUUCCUUUCUUUUCUUCCUUUCUUUUCUUUUCCUUUCUUUCUUUCUUUCUUUCUUUCUUUCUUUCUUUCUUUCUUUCUUUCUUUCUUUCUUUCUUUCUUCCUUCCUUCCUUCCUUCCUUCCUUCCUUCCUUCCUUUCUUCCUUUCUUCCUUUCUUCCUUUCUCUCUCAUACUCACUCUCUCCCUCCCUCCCCCAUCCUUCUUUCUUUUGUUUUUCCGUCUAAGCUAAAGGAUGCCAUAAUGGUGGACUUAGAAAAAACUUUAGGGCAGACUACCAGGUCCUGUCUCAUUUUACAUAUGGCAAAAUAAGUCAGGUGAAAGUUCUCUCAAGAACACAGUCAGUGCCUCACAGAUCUGAGACCUGAUCUUACAGCUCCUAUUCAAAAAGAUGGUCUGUGCUCAAAGUUUUUUUUUUGGCACCAAUGUUUUCUAACUGAAUGUUUUUAUUGAGACUAUAUGGUAAGAAAUUUGAGUCUGGAGUUAUGUGCAUUCAAGAACAAGAAAAAUGCAUUUGAUUAUAAGAUUUGUGUUGUGGUCACUGUGAAAAUCAUGAAAUUACCCUCUCCCAGUAGGGCAGGCUAUGAUAUAAUCUUAGAACUAAACUAAAUGCAUCUGUGAGAAACAACAUGACCCAUUUCUGUUUUCUCCAAUGUUUUUUUGAGUUGAGAAGAAAGAUGUUCUUAUGACCUAUUAAAUUUUACCCCCUCUUACAUCAUCAAUCUUACACAAAUAGGAGUCCUUAUUUUCUAGGCCAAAGAGAUGUCAUGAUUUUGAGGGGAGCUUUUUCUGCUAUGGAUAUGAGACCGUGCUUGGAAGAAAUGAUUUAUUGCAAAUUUACUAUGAUGGACAAUCUGUCUUUCAGGUAAAACAAGACCCACAGUUCCCAUAAUCUUUUAACUGAUUAUAGAGGAAAAUUUUGACUUCAAAAAGAAUUUACUAUAGCUUAACAGAACACUCACAAUGUUUCAUAACAAAAAAAAUAGAGUUGAGAAUUCAACUCCAGAGUACAGCUACCUAUAAAUUAAACUUCAAUUUAGACUAAUAAAAUUGAGUAAAAUAUAAUAUGCUACCUACAAAUACAUUCAUUUCGAUAAAACUAUAUUUACAAACAGACUAAAAUAGACCCACCUGAAGGUGCAUUAAUGACCUUGAAAACCUGUAUAAUACUGGAAAGUCACACAGUAAGACGGGCAGUGUGGAAAGAGAGCUUUGCACCUGAAAACAACCUAAAUAGACAAAAACAGCCCAGUCCCUUCAUUUUAAAUUUAGCCUCAGGCAAGGUCUUAGGACACAGUAAGAAGGGAGCCAGAUUCUUUCUCAAAAUAUCACAAGUAUGGUCUCUAGCCCAGUUGCUGACACUGUUCCCCUCAGAAAUCUCCUAAGCUGGCUUUCCCUCAGUCCUGUUACUUUCAUCACUGUUGUCUUCUAGGCUCCCACUAGAGUGGCUGGCCAACCAUGCUCACAGCAUUCAACUGAUUUACACAUGCAAUUUCCAAAGUCUUCUACAUUUCU